GGGGAUUUAGCUCAAUGAUAGAGUGCAUUUUUAACAUAUGUGAGGCCCUGGGAUUGAUCCCCAGCACCACCA
rnacentral:tRNA from 1 species